UUGCAGGGGAUUGACGGCGCUUUCAGAUGGGCUGAGUUAUCUUACUAAUCUCAGGAAAUUAACCAUUACAGGGAUGCCUAGAGAACUCCACCAUCGGAUUCAGGAAGAUGGAGAGGAUUUCUAUAAAAUUCAACACGUACCUUCCCUUGUAAUUGGAGAACCAUACGACGAGUACGACGAGUACGAUGCAAUGAUGGCAAGAAUCUUUGAGAUGGAGAAUCUUUCCAUUGCUACGCGAACAACAAUUAGAAAGCGAGAGGUAAACUGAAGCUACACUCUUGGCAACUUACAGACCUUACAUAUGCUUUCAAGUGAGUAUUGUAAUUUGAAAGAUGUUGCUGGAUUAACCAAUCUUAGAAAACUGGACAUAAACCUAUUGUAAACCGCGUAUCAUUCUCGUAUAUGUGACUUGGGGCUAGAGCAAUUCCAGGAUAGGUGACUCACUGGGAAGUUGUUCGUGAGUUCCCAGAAACAAAAUCGUGAGGACAAAGAGGGGGGCCAGAAACAACACUACCAAUAAUGGAAAGCUACUCAAAUAUCUCUGCAGUUGAAGAGUCUAGCACGAGAAUCUAGUUACAACAUCUUUCAUUGACAUGGACCAAAAAAGUUCAAAAAUAAUUUCGGAACUUGCAAUGAGUUGUUCGCUGUUGGCCUUCUGUACUGGAUUUGCUCUCUACAUUC